GACGAACGCUGGCGGCGCGCCUAACACAUGCAAGUCGAACGGAGCUGAGAGAAGCUUUCUUUUCUUAGCUUAGUGGCGAACGGGUGAGUAACGCGUGAGUAACCUGCCCUGGAGUGGGGGACAACAGUUGGAAACGACUGCUAAUACCGCAUAAGCCCACGAUCCGGCAUCGGAUUGAGGGAAAAGGAUUUAUUCGCUUCAGGAUGGACUCUCGUCCAAUUAGCUAGUUGGUGAGGUAACGGCCCACCAAGGCGACGAUUGGCAGCCGGACUGUGAGGUUGAACCGAGACAUUGGGACUGAGCCACGGCCGAGACUACUACGGGAGGCAGCAGUGGGGGAUAUUGCAAAAUGGGGGAAACGAUGAUGGAGCGACGGCGGGUGGAGGAAGAAGGUUGUCGGAUUGUAAACUCCUGUCAUUAGGGACGAUAAUGACGGUACCUAAAAAGAAAGCACCGGCUAACUACGUG
rnacentral:rRNA from 1 species